CACGAGGGUCUCACUGUCUUAAGGAAAUUUCCAGUGAAAUUGAAUUUGUAGUGAAGAUGCUACAUCCAAAUUGUUAGACAAGAAGUCCCCAUGGAACUUUACUGGAAACUUAUGUGGCUUAAAUUAAUUUAUUUCUUACAAAUAAAUAGUUUUUAAAUGUGGUGUUAACCUCUCGGAUUAACGAGGGUUAGAAAAGCUCACUCUUUUAUUUUAAGAAAGCCAACUCAAAAUUUUAUAUCUUUGGGAUUAGAUAAGUGGGACAGUUUGGUUGGGGCGACCGCCUUUAAAAAAGUAACGAAGGCGGGCUUAAGAUAUAUUUUUAGUUAUGUCUGACUGCCAAGGGGGAAUCCUGAGCAGGCACUUACUUUUUAGGUGGGUUUAAGUGACCCGUUAAUUUAGGGUGAAAUAGUUAACGAUAAGCA
rnacentral:rRNA from 1 species